AGGAGUGAGAAUCCAGAAUGAUGAGAGGACAACCAGCAGGGGAAGGAAGUCCCUGGGAGGCGAGUUGGCCUGGCCCUGUGCACAGCUGACAAGAGCCUGGCCUCCUCAGGAACUUCCAAGGAUUUGGCUUCGGGACAGUGCAGGGCUGCAUCCACAUUGAGACGAGCUCGGUUUCCUCAGGACCGGCUGGGAGGUGCCUCCAUGGGAGAAAAAGGUCAUCCAGAACACCCAAGACGGGACUUCCCUUGUGGUGCAGUGGUUAAGAAUCCACCUGCCAAUGCACGGGACACGGGUUCGAUCCCUGGUCCGGGAAGAUACCACAUGCCGCGGGGCAACUAAGCCCGUGAGGCACAACUACUGAGCCCGCAUGCUGCGACUACUGAAGCCCGUGCUCUGCAACAAGAGAAGCCACCGCAAUGAGAAGCCCGUGCAUGGCAACGAAGAGUAGGCAACGAAGAGUAGCCCCCGCUUUCCACAACUAGAGAAAGCCUGCGUGCAGCAACGAAGACCCAACACAACCCUAAAUAAAUAAAUAAAUUAAUUAAUUAAUUUAAAAAAAAUUUAAAAAUAACUAGACUGUCUUUUCUAAUCUCCAUGUUUUCAGUGUACAAUUCUUGUACACCUUUUUCCUCACCUCUAUUGGAGGCUGGUUCAGAACACACACAACCUCCUGGAGAAACUUGCCCCGACCCUGCCAUGUACUGCCACGUAGUUGGCCUGGUACUGAGUCACCAAAAACUUUUGUUCUUUACUUGAUUCUUAACUCCUUUAGAAUUCAUUACU